GAUGACUCUCGACAACGGAUAUCUCGGCUCUCGCAUCGAUGAAGAACGUAGCGAAAUGCGAUACUUGGUGUGAAUUGCAGAAUCCCGUGAACCAUCGAGUCUUUGAACGCAAGUUGCGCCCGAAGCCACUAGGCUGAGGGCACGUCUGCCUGGGUGUCACGC
rnacentral:rRNA from 4 species